rnacentral:lncRNA from 1 species
AAAGCUGAUUUAUUACAUAAUUACAUGUAUGACUUCCUUCGUAACUGCGUGGCUGCCGGUCUGACUCACUCAACCUAUUCAGGAUAAUAACGCAGAGAAAAAAUUGAAUAGUCCAAGGCCUUUAUGUAAAUGACUUAUUUAUUUGUCUUACUUUAGUCCACAAUUUAGACACCGAAUUUCAGUAUGAGCACAGUUGUUCUGUUUUCAUCGAUCUGAAACGCGGCCGCGCCCGCACACAGCUCCGCCGCGCCGCGAGGGGGCGCUGCGGCACAGAGAGCGGCUGCGGGGCGGCAGCGCCCCGCGACUUCCGGGGCUUCUCGGCACCGACUUCCGGGCGGCGCUGCGGGCUGCCGGCGGUAGGGGGCAGCAGCGCCGCCGGGCUGCCGGCUCGGUGGUUCUUGUGUCGAUAGAAGCCUUUGAGCGCCCUCAAACCCGUUAUUUUUGUCCCAGUGAUCUCGGUGGCGGGAGGCUGGGGAGCAGAGCUCAGCCCGCAGGGUGGGUGCCGCUGCCGCUGAGCGCAUGGCAGGCAGGGCGUCCUGCAGGAGCGCGGGGACGUGCCGCCUCCUGACCCCCGUGGCCUUGACCAGCAGAGAACCGCCCUCGGGCUCACGGUGCACAACGAUCCCAGACAGCGACCCAGCUCCUCCAGCCCUUCUGCUUCGUACAGAGGCAUAGAUUUACUCUAGGAGUGGACACGCCAUUUCUAACAAAGAAUAUUCAGCCUUCUUUCCUACUGUAGGCAGGAGAGCAAUUAGAAACACCAAAUCAAGAUCUUCAGCACCUGAUCUUUUUAUCUCCCUGUGGCACAGAAUCACAGAAUGGCCAGGGUUGGAAGGGACCUCAAGGAUGAUGAAUCUCCAACCCCCUGCCACAUGCAUGGCCACCAACCUCCUCAUUUAAUGCUAGACCAGGCUGCCCAGGGCCCCAUCCAACCUGGCCUUGAACACCUCCAGGGACGGGGCACCUUUGGUUUCCAUUCACACCUGCCCAGCAGUGAAGCUGGUGCCUGCACCGAUUCUGCAGCCCAUGGCAGGUUUAGAAAGCUGAGAAGUGAAUCUGUUGAUAACAAAAUUCUAAAGCCCUGGUGUUGGUACAGCAGCCCUCCGUUAACACUGGGCAUUGAGCAGCAUGGGAGCCAACAGCAGAACUGUCAGAGCUCAAAUUGUUCAGAAGAGUUCCAUCUGUGCUGAAAUAAUGGGACAAAACGAGAAUCAAAGGUUAUGGACUUCGAUAUCAGCAUAUAUCUGAUAGGAGUCACAUACCCGAUCCCAGCUCCACCCCAUACAAGCACCUAUAUUGGGGUGACACAGAUGAGCCAAAUGGUCACUUCCACAUUUUAUGCACAAAGAAGUCAAAUCCCAAACGUCCAUUUUGAGUUCCACUUAAACGCAAUGUCUUAACGCACUCAGUUACGUGGGAGCGCCUGCGCAGAGCUGUGUGUGGCACACUGCGGGCCCUCGUGGAGAUUCUGCAAGCCAGGAAGGCCUGGGAUGUGCUCUGUGGAUCUGCAGAAUGCCUUAACCCCACCCAGGGGGCAGCGUGGGGCACAGAACCGCCUCCAAACUGAGAUCCCCCUUAACUCAGACCCCGGUCCUGUGUGUGUGCGGCACAGGGUCCAGCUGUUGGUUAGACUUCCUUAUGGUGUUUUCUUUAAUGAGAAAGCUGUACAGGACAGGUCCACGUGUAAAUAAGGGAUUACGUUUAUGUAGAUGUUAAUAUUUACAUGUAAAAAGUUAUGUACAUAGGAAAGAAAAUAAUGGCUCAAAGAAUGUUUUAAAAAUAGUUUCUUCUGUCUAAAGGCACAGAAGGACAGCGACACAGACGUGCUGCUGAGCUCAACGUAAGCUCAGCUUCGUGCUCGGCUUGGGGAUGCUCAGGGCUCAGUCCUGGGGGCUGAGGGGCUCUGGGCAGCCCUGCUCCAAACGGUGGAGGGACACACACUGAACGUGUUGCCCACUCACUGCUGCUCUGCUAUGGCAGCCUUAUUUCACCUACCGGAGUUUGGAAAGAGCGUGCAGUGUGUUAUCAGCAGCACAGGGAGCUUCUGGAGGAAUGCCAAAGGAGUCAAGGUGCUCCCAGUUCGGGUACUGCAGCGCUGGGCAGAGGCACGGCCUGGGCUGGACUGAUGCAACACAGCUGAACUAAGAGCCACUCGGAUCUCAGCUCACCUGGCUGCAGGAGCGUGGCGUCAGUGAGUGCCGUGCUCCAGCAGCACCCCAGCUUUCAGCGCAUCCCCGAGUGCCUUACGCAGCUCCUAAACGGAGCCACCGGCAGCCCAGGGGCUCAGGAAUCUGUGUUGUGAAUAGUGCAGCACAGCCUGUACUGAUGCGUGGUAUGUUUGCUAGAAAGGAAUGCUGAACAUCGAGGCGAACCAGAGAAAGUGGUUCCCCCGGCCGCUGCGCUGUGUGCUGUGCUCUGUAACCUCCAGCAGCCACAUCCCGAGUGCAGAACGUUGGGUCGGUGCCGCGGCAAUGACUGCUGGGCCCAAGGCGGGGCUGCAUCGAUCAAUUACAGAAUUUUACACAUAUUUUUGUAUUGUGAUUCAUAUGAUAUAUAUCAAGAGACUUUCUAUUCAUUUGUAAAAUACAUAAAUUAUUGUAAACUUUUAAUAAAAAGAGCUGUUUUAAACCUUAAAAUCGGUGA